rnacentral:tRNA from 1 species
CGAGUAUGAGAUGCGCGGCGUUCCGGUCCGGCUUGAGAUCGGACCGCGGGAUAUGGAGAACGGCGUGUGCGUGCUCGUGUCGCGCGUAUCCGGC